rnacentral:rRNA from 1 species
UACGGAGGGUGCAAGCGUUGUCCGGAUUUAUUGGGUUUAAAGGGUGCGUAGGCGGUUUUUUAAGUCAGUGGUGAAAUCCUGCAGCUCAACUGUAUGAACUGCCAUUGAUACUGAAAAACUUGAGUACAGACGAGGUAGGCGGAAUUUAUGGUGUAGCGGUGAAAUGCAUAGAUACCAUAAAGAACACCGAUUGCGAAGGCAGCUUACUAGGCUGUAACUGACGCUGAGGCACGAAAGUGUGGGGAUCAAACAGG